CUGAAAAUCAGAGACAUGGUGUUGGAUUCUGGGUAAACAUCGGAACAUUGUUAUACGUGUAAGUGAAUAAAGGAGUGGAAGAGAGACUGGGUUUUUAUGUCCGAGGUUAAUGGAUUGGAGAGGAGUGUCCCAAGUGGUGUGUAUAUACUGGUGAUGGUGGAAACAUGUUGUUGUCUGAAUUACAGCUGUAACGACCCUUUGGGGAAGAAUUAAACUUGCUUAAGCUUC